rnacentral:miRNA from 1 species
CCAAGUACAGUGUGUUGGAUUCUUACUACCUGUAAGUACAGUCCAUAGUCACUUUGCCAGG